rnacentral:rRNA from 1 species
UGGGGAAUAUUGCACAAUGGGGGGAAACCCUGAUGCAGCGACGCCGCGUGAACGAAGAAGUAUUUCGGUAUGUAAAGUUCUAUCAGCAGGGAAGAAGAAUGACGGUACCUGACUAAGAAGCACCGGCUAAAUACGUGCCAGCAGCCGCGGUAAUACGUAUGGUGCAAGCGUUAUCCGGAUUUACUGGGUGUAAAGGGAGCGCAGGCGGUGCGGCAAGUCUGAUGUGAAAGCCCGGGGCUCAACCCCGGUACUGCAUUUGAAACUGUAUCUCUUGAGUGUCGGAGAGGUAGACGGAAUUCCUAGUGUAGCGGUGAAAUGCGUAGAUAUUAGGAGGAACACCAGUGGCGAAGGCGGUCUACUGGACGAUAACUGACGCUGAGGCGCGAAAGCGUGGGGAGCAAACAGGAUUAGAUACCCUGGUAGU